rnacentral:rRNA from 1 species
AACUAACGCUGGCGGCGUGCCUAACACAUGCAAGUCGAACGAGAAAGUUGGCUUCGGCCGAUGAGUAAAGUGGCGCACGGGUGAGUAACGCGUGGAUAAUCUGCCCUUUAGUUUGGAAUAACGUACCGAAAGGUGCGCUAAUACCGGAUAAUACUGAAUGACUACUGUCGUUUAGUCAAAGAAGGCUUCUGUUUACAUGCUUUUGCUGAAGGAUGAGUCCGCGUACCAUUAGCUAGUUGGUAGGGUAAUGGCCUACCAAGGCGACGAUGGUUAGCUGGUCUGAGAGGAUGGCCGGCCACAAGGGCACUGAGAGACGGGCCCUACUCCUACGGGAGGCAGCAGUGGGGGAUUUUGGACAAUGGGCGAAAGCCUGAUCCAGCGACGCCGCGUGGAGGACGAAGCCCUUCGGGGUGUAAACUCCUUUUCUCAGGGAAAAGGAUGAUGGUACCUGAGGAAUAAGCCCCGGCUAACUACGUG